GACGAACGCUGGCGGCGCGCUUAACACAUGCAAGUCGAGCGAUGAAAUCUUGACAGAUCCCUUCGGGGUGAAGAUAAGAUGGAUUAGCGGCGGACGGGUGAGUAACACGUGAGUAACCUGCCUUAGACAUUGGGAUAGCCUCGGGAAACCGGGAUUAAUACCAAAUGAAAUCGUAGGUGCCCAUGCACUAAUGAUCAAAACUCCGGUGGUCUAAGAUGGACUCGCGUCCCAUUAGCUAGUUGGUGAGGUAACGGCCCACCAAGGCGACGAUGGGUAGCCGGCCUGAGAGGGUGAACGGCCACAUUGGAACUGAGAAACGGUCCAAACUCCUACGGGAGGCAGCAGUGGGGAAUAUUGCACAAUAGAGGGAACUCUGAUGCAGCGACGCCGCGUGAACGAUGAAGGCUUUCGAGUCGUAAAGUUCUUUUAUAUGGGAAGAUAAUGACGGUACCAUAAGAAAAAGCCCCGGCUAACUACGUGCCAGCAGCCGCGGUAAUACGUAGGGGGCUAGCGUUGUCCGGUAUCACUGGGCGUAAAGGGUUCGCAGGCGGAAAUGCAAGUCAGAUGUAAAAGGCAGUAGCUUAACUACUGUAAGCAUUUGAAACUGCAUAUCUUGAGAAGAGUAGAGGUAAGUGGAAUUUUUAGUGUAGCGGUGAAAUGCGUAGAUAUUAAAAAGAAUACCGGUGGCGAAGGCGACUUACUGGGCUCAUUCUGACGCUGAGGAACGAAAGCGUGGGUAGCAAACAGGAUUAGAUACCCUGGUAGUCCACGCUGUAAACGAUGAGUGCUAGGUAUCGGAAUAAUUCGGUGCCGCAGUUAACACAUUAAGCACUCCGCCUGGGGAGUACGUGCGCAGCAUG
rnacentral:rRNA from 1 species